CAUUAUGAUCCUCUUCAAGAAAUGUUCUCUAACUGGACCUUUAAACUUUAGUUCUAGUGGAAGCCUCCAGGAACUAUUUUUCUACACAAACGUGUGGUUAAAGAGCAAGUAUAUAACCAGAAUAACCAGAAUGCAUUGCACGCAUCUCGUCCAAUCAGACUGACUGACUCAACUGACGGUGUGUGUCUGGAUAUAUCGUAGCAUCAUAAAACAAACAGCUGGAGUCAGUUAUGUUAGCUGUCAGUUUUACCGCCGUAAACCACCGUAGGCACCGUGAGGUUUGUUGCCACGAGGAGUUUUCAGUCUGUCUCCUUGACAACCAUCACCGGCAUCAUCUCUCUGCUCCCACGUUAUACUGACUCACAUCAUGAAACUACUUUCCCCGCAUGUAGCAGGAUGAUAUUUAGUGUCUGUCGCUGGUGUAACAUGGACACGUCUGACGUCCCUGAAGGCACCGCUGAUGAAGAUGAGGAGACGUAGUUUGUUGUUGCGGAUCUCCACAACAUGGAGGGAAGUUCAACGUUCAUAUAAAACUCACACAGGAAACAACACAAAGUUACACAAUCAGACGAAGCCGUCGUCACAAUCAGGAGACAGAUUUAAUGAAGAGACACAAACUUUGUUGUAAUCAUGAUAAAUAUAUUUAAAGACAUAGUUUGUUCCUUUUUCCUGUAACAAUGAGAAACAUAUAAUAUACAAAGAAAUGUAUUAUUUUAUUGAUCAUCAUGACAAACAGGUUCACUGCUGCUGAGAAACACGUCAGACUCCAACAGCAGCACUAAACCCCGACAGGAAGCAGCGCGAGGAGGCUCGGAGCCGCGCUGGACGCUGAUCAUGUGACCUGCUUCCUGUGUCAUUGUGCUUUUCAGGCAGAUACACAAAUGUUUGGAUUCCUGAAGACUCAACACACCUGCUGCUUGACAUCACACCACAUCUUCAGUCCUUCACGGCGGCGCCACGGUGAGCGUUGAAGCGCUGGAUGAUGUAAUGGACUAGUGAACUCUUACACAUCAACUUCCUGUCAAUAUCAGCCCCAACCUGCCUCAUCAGGACACUUCCAGAUCAAAACAGACUAUAUUUCUACAUAUUUCUUAUUGUUCUUAUCGUUCCUCUGUGCUGGGAGCUACUGUAGCAGGGAUGGAUAAAGUAUUUCUGCUUGUGACUCUGAUUGUUUUCUUGGCGGUGAUGUGCUUCCACGGCCGGAUGAGUUGAGUAUAUGUGAAUGUUAGUGUUGUGAACGUGUGAGUGCAGGUUUCACAGACAGUAACGGCUCUGUUUGUUCCUGUCGGGCUGCUGUUCAGCUCUGAUUGUAUUCAGACUGCUGUCAGUUUGUGUUGGCGCUGACGCUGUUUAACUUCAACACAACUGACUAUUGUUCCUCCCGCGGCUCCUUCUUACCUCGGCUGUUAUCGUGUUAUCUGAAGCUGCAGGUUACACAACUUCAAACCAUCCCAGUGAUCAGCGAGGAGAGACGAGGUAUGCACGACUGAUCAUCAAACACACAACUAUACAGUUUUUAUCUGCGGCUGCGACUCCGUGAAGAAUCUGGAACCAAUAAAAAUCAUCUUCUGAGUUUUAUUAAGCAGCGUGAAUCAGAUGAUCUCAGCUUGUUCUUCAUGAACAUUCAAACCUUCAGCAGGACGUGAAGAGCUGAAGGUGUCGUCCUCGUCUGCUUCAGAAAAACAUAAUGAAGUGAACUGAAUGUCUGCAGACUGCUGAUUGGUCAGAACAACAUCUGACGUCAUUA